GAUGAACGCUGGCGGCGUGCCUAAUACAUGCAAGUCGAGCGAACAGAUGAGGAGCUUGCUCCUCUGACGUUAGCGGCGGGCGGGUGAGUAACACGUGGAUAACCUACCUAUAAGACUGGGAUAACUUCGGGAAUCCGGCGCUAAUACCGGAUAAUAUAUUGAACCGCAUGGUUCAAUGGUGAAAGACGGUUUUGCUGUCACUUAUAGAUGGAUCCGCGCCGCAUUAGCGAGUUGGUACGGUAACGGCUUUCCAAGGCAACGAUGCCUAGGCGACCUGAGAGGGUGAUCGGCCACACUGGAGCUGAGCCACGGUCCAUGCUCCUACGAGAGGCAGCAGUAGGGAAUCUGCCGCAAUGGGCGAAAGCCUUGCGGAGCAGCGCCGCGUGAGAUAUGAAGGUCUUCGGUGCGUAAUACUCUCUUAUUAGUGAAGAACAAAUGUGUAAGUAACUAUGCCCGUCUUGACGGUACCUAAUCAGAAAGCCACGGCUAACUACGUG
rnacentral:rRNA from 1 species